UGCGAAGUCGCAAGACGAUGUAUACGGACUGACUCCUGCCCGGUGCUGGAAGGUUAAGAGGACCUGUCAGACGCAAGUCGAAGCGGAGAAUUUAAGCCCCAGUAAACGGCGGUGGUAACUAUAACCAUCCUAAGGUAGCGAAAUUCCUUGUCGGGUAAGUUCCGACCUGCACGAAUGGCGUAACGACUUCCCCACUGUCUCAACCAUGAACUCGGCGAAAUUGCAGUACGAGUAAAGAUGCUCGUUACGCGCAGCAGGACGGAAAGACCCCGAGACCUUUACUAUAGUUUGGUAUUGGUGUUCGGUGCGGCUUUUGUAGGAUAGGUGGGAGGCUGUGAA
rnacentral:ncRNA from 1 species